rnacentral:lncRNA from 10 species
UUUCUUUUUCUUUCUUUUUUUUUUUUUAAGACGGAGUAUCGCUCUGUUGCCCGGGCUGGUGUGCAGUGGCGCGAUCUCGGCUCACUGCAAGCUCCGCCUCCUGGGUUCCCGCCAUUCUUCCGCCUCAGCCUUCCAAGUAGCUGGGACUACCGGCGCCCGCCAUCGCGCCCAGCUCAUUUUUUUGUAUUUUUAGUAGAGAGGGGGUUUCACCGUUUUAGCCAGGAUGGUCUCGAUAUCCUGACCUUGUGAUCCGCCCGCCUCGGCCUCUCAAAGUGCUGGGAUUACAGGCGUGAGCCACCGCGCCCGACCUAUUGGUUUCUUUUUUUGACACGGAGUCUCACUCUGCCACCCAGGGUGGAGUGCAGUGAUGCAACGUCUCCCUCUUGGGUUCAAGCAAUUCUCCUGCCUCAGGCUCCCAAGUAGCUGGGAUUACAGAAAACUCUUGAGUUCUCCCUGAAAGGAGACUAAAGAACAAUCCUCUGCAGAUGUGUCUGAAUCCUAAAAUGAACUUAAGUCAAGCAUGAUCCCUAAGGCUGCUCAGGGAGAGAGAACCUAGAAACCUGGCAUGCUGGCAAAAGGACCAUCAAGCUUCAGAUGAUCAUGCAACAAAAGUCCCAGCUAGUUCCAGGUGAAGACAACACACCUGGCCUUCAAAAAGCUACUCUGCCUCCACUAGAGAGAACAGGGCGAGAGUUCCAUGAUCCCCAGUAGAGUCUCACUCUGUGUCACAGGCUGAAGUGCAGUGGCACAAUCUUGGCUCACUGCAACCUCCACCUCCCGGGUUCAAGUGAUUCUCCUGCUUCAGCCUCCGGAGUAGCUGGGACUACAGGAUGAAAACUAUAAAUCAUUCGCUUUCCCAGAGUGAAGUUUGACUUAUUCCUGUGGCCAACAUGGCUUAUGGACACCAAGGACAAAUAAGUCAGAAUAACUUGAUGGAAAAGACCUUCAGCGAUAACUACAUAGUUUUCAUCUCUUGUAUGAACAAAGUGUUAAAUUUUCUCUACUAUCAAUUCUUUAGUGAUAUAUUGGCUAUGAUUUUUUUCUGUUCCAUGAUAUAUAUUAUUUUAUCAUAUAAUAUACAUUGAUAUAUGAAUUGAUUAAGGUCAGGGAUUUAUACCAAGAUAAUAAUUUGUUCUAAAAACUAUAUGUUCAGUUUUUAUCAUUAAAAACAUUUUAAAUAAUAACUAAUUCUCAUUUGUAGUCAAUAAGUGGCACAUGCAUAAUCAUAUGGCAAAGAUAUAUUUUUGUUUGGUGCUGUAGGUACAAAUUACAGUUUGAUCUUUCAUACUUUAUGAAAACAAUGGUAUAAAUAGAUAUAUGGUUCAUAUUGCAGUUGAAUAUAAUAUUUAUUCAAUAACAUUUAUUAAUGAUAUUUCAGGAAGUAUUUCUCAUAUUUUAAUGUAUACAUGAACCACAUGGUAUCCUCUUAAAAAAGCAAAUUUUGGUUCAGUUUUUAGAAGAUGGAGCUAAGAUUUUUUCAUUUCAAACUGCUUUGUGAUCCGCUGAUCUCAGUUUCAGUAGCAAAUUUAAAAAUAUGUAUGCUUCUGGAUUUUAAUAGAUAACUGAAAUAAAACAAAAUAUUUUUCAGUACUAAGAGUGGUUAAAUUUCAACAUGAUCUUUGCUUAAAUGAAAGAGACUAUUAGAAGUACAUUUUCUAGUACUCUUUUUUAUUUCUUUUCAUUUUAAAUAUAUUUCCAAAUUACAAUACUUUAAUUUAAUGACUCAUGCUGACUUCAAAAUUAACACCACAGCUAAAAUAUAUGAGCUCCUUUUACAGCAGCGUUUUUCCUCUGGGAAAUAGUAACUUCUCUUGCCAUUGUUUUCAUUAUUUUCACUUCUUUUCUUCUGUACAAGGAUCUGACAAUACAUCCUCAACUUUACUUGCUUGAAAACAGAAGCAGUGGCAAAGAUUAGUGGUGAAAACCAGGAGACUUAAAAAACACAUUUAAUCUCUUUCAUUCCCUUCCUUCCUUCCUUCCUUCCUUCCUUCCUUCCUUCCUUCCUUCCUUCCUUCCUCUCUCUCUUUUUUAUUUUUUGGAAAAUACUCAACUAUCAUCAUUCACUGCCAUUCAAAACAUUUUUCAAUCAUGUAUUGUCACCUAAAAGAUUUAUUCAAAACCUAACGGUGAAUGGAUAAAGAUGCUCAAUUUGGGGGCUCUCAAUAGACAAUUCAGGAAUGCCGAUGAUUUUGCUAUGUCAGUUUGGUGCUAUGAAGGGAGGUAAAAUAUAUUGCUUAAAAUUGUAUAUAUAUACACAUUACAUUAUAUAUACAAAAAUUACAUGUAUAUAUAUAUACACAUUACAUGUAUAUAUUUUAUAAUUUUAUUAAUAUAUAUAGUUUUAAUUACAAUUCUUACAUAUAAUAUAAACAUAAAUUUUAUGUGAUCCUUUUUUCUUGAAUUAAAGGUUAUAUAAUAAAAGCUACCACCUGCAGUUCUCACAGCAGUAGAAUUCCAAAUCAGCCGCUGCAAAAUCAGCAACAGCAGCUGUAACCUGGUUUUUAGAGAAGUUGAAAUCAAUUUUCACAGGUAACUUAAAGUUUAUACAAAUGCAGAUUGUGUUCGCCAGGGUUUAACAUUUGUAUAAUAGUCAUAAAGAUAAUAGUACGAUAAAGAGUUAUUCUUACUGAAUUUCAAUACACAGUCUCUUCUUUUCUGUUAUGGUCUUCAAAGGUAUUAUUUAAGCUUAAUUACAUUUAUGAAAACAAAUUAAUAAAAAUGUCAAAGUUGGGAUUUAAAGAGGUAUACACUUACUAAAAUAAGGUAUGUUUCUUAAACAAAAUGUAUUCUAUUUUAAUCAUUAAUUUAAGACUUUCAGUUCUUCAUGAAUCAGUGACCCAUCAAUAGUGUAUCUUUUACUGUAAGUUAAUUUCAAUCCUAGAUUUGUAUACAAUUAAAGUAACAUAUUUAUCUUAAUCUUUUAAGUUUUUAUAUAUCAUCCAGAAAAAUGAGAUAUCUAUAAUAGUCUUUCAGUUCUGUAAACUUUUCUCUUUUUUCUUUCUUUAAUUUUUUUUUUACUUUUUAUUUUUGGUAACAAUGGUUUUACAUAUUUAUGUGGUAGAUGUACCAUUUUGAUACAAGCAUAAAAUGUGUAAUAAUAAAAUCUAGGUAAUUGGGAUAUUCAUUACAUAAAAUAUUUAUAAUUUAUGUGUGUUGGGAACAUUCCAAAUCUCUUCUUCUAGUUAUUUUUAAAUUUACAAUAAAUUAUUAUUAACUGUAGUCACCCUAUUGUGCUACUGAACACUAGACCUUAUUCUAUUAACCAUCCCCUCUUUAUAACCCCCCGCAAACCCACUACCCUUCCCAACCUCUGGUAACUGUCAUUCUACUCUCUGUCUUUAUGAGAUCAGUUUUCUUUAGUUCCCAUAUAUAAGUGAAAACAUGCAACAUUUAUCUUUCUGUGCCUGGCUUAUUUCACUGAACAUAGUAUCCUCCAGUUCCAUCCAUGUUGUUAUAAUUAUCAUGAUUUCAUUCUUUUGUGUGACUGAAUAAUAAUCCAUUGUGUAUAUAUACCACAUUUUCUGUAUUCAUUCAUUUGUUGUUUGACACAGUUUGAUUUCAUAUCUUGGCUAUGGCAAAUAGUGCUGCAAUAAACAUGGGUGUGCCAACAUCUCUCUCCAAUAGAUGUAUUUCCUUUAUUUUGAAUAAAUACCCAGUAGUGAGAUUGCUGGAUUAUAUUGUAGUUCUAUUUUUAGUUUUUUAAGGAACCUCCUUACUGCUUUCCAUAGUGACUAUACUAAUUUACAUCCCACCGAUAGUGUAUGAGUGUUCCUCCUUCUCCACCUCCUUACCACCAUUUAUUUUCUGUCUUUUUGUAUUUUUGUUAUCCCAUUUGUCCAUUUUGGUUUUCAUUGCCUGUGCUUUUGAGGUCUUAUUCAACAAAUUUUGCCCAGACUAAUGUACUCAAAUAUUUUCCCUAUGUUUUCUUCUAGUAGUUUCAGGUCUUACAUUUAAGUCUUUAAUACAUUUAGAUUUGUUUUUGCAUAUGGUAAGAGAGAGGGUACUAAUUUCAUUCUUCUGCAUAUGGUUAUCUAGUUUUUCAAGCAUCAAUUAUUGAAAAGACUGUCCUUGCUGCAGUGUAUGUUUUUGGUACUUUGUCAAAAAUGAAUUGACUGUAAAUGUGUGGAUUGAUUUGUAGGUUAUCUAUUAUGUUCUAUGUGUCUGUUUUUAUGGCAGUACCAUGCUGAUUUUAAUACUAUAGCUUUGUAGUAUAAUUUGAAGUCAGAUACUGUGCUUCUUCCAGCUUUGUUCUCUUUGUUCAGAAUUGUUGUAGGUAUUCCAGGUCGUUUGUGGUUCCAUAUACAUUUUAGAAUUUUUUUUUAUUUCUGUGAAGAAUUUCAUUAGUACUUUGACACAUACUGUAUUGAAUCUGUAGAUAAUGUUAGGCAGUAUAGACAUCUUAAUAAUAUUGAUUUUUCUAAUUCAUGAUUAUGAAAUAUCUUUCCAUUUUUGUGUCUUCAAUUUACUCCCUUGAUGUUUUAUAGCAUUUUUAUCAACAAAAAUUGUGUAUGUUUAUAAUAUACAGCAUGAUGUUUUGAAAUAUGUAUAUAUUGUAGAAUGGGUAAAUCGAGCUAACUAACAUAUGUAUUCCCUCAUAUGUAUAUAUAUUUGUGUGUGUGUGUAUGGCGAGAACACAUAAAAUCUAUUUUCAAGUUAUUUACAUGUGGGUGGAUUAUCGUUGUACAUUGGCUUAUAACUUAAUUUGUUGUUAAGUGACAAAAGUGGAUGGAUAGUAUGCUUCCUUUUAUGUGGAAGAGGGAACUUGGGGAGCUUAGGGAGUGCACACGCUGGAGGGACUUUUUAUUUUAGCAAUGCUUCUUGCAGUACAUUUAUAACUCACGUAUAGAAAACUUUCACAAUUUUUCAUAAGCAUUUUGCAAUUAUGAUUAAGUGGAUUUUUCAAAGCAAUACAAAUAGAAGGCCAAGGAAGGUGGCUUAUGUCUAUAAUCCCAGCACUUUGGGAGGCCAAGAUGGGCUGAUCACCUGAAGUCAGGGGUUCAAGACCAGCCUGGCCAACGUGGUGAAAUUCUGUCUCUACUAAAAAUACAAAAAUUAGCCAGACACGGUAGCACACAUAUGUAAUCCAAGCUACUCUGGAGGCUGAGGCAGGAGAAUUAUUUGAACCUGAGAGUG